GUCGUCAGCUCGUUUCGUGAGAUGUUGGGUAAUCCCGNCUACGAGCGCAACCCUUGUCCUAGUUGCCACCAUUCAGUUGGGCACUCUAGGGAGACUGCCGGUGACAAACCGGAGGAAGGUGGGGAUGACGUCAAGUCAUCAUGGCCCUUAUGGGCAGGGCUACACACGUGCUACAAUGGCCAGUACAGAGGGUUGCCAACCCGCGAGGGGGAGCUAAUCUCACAAAGCUGGUCGUAGNUGCAGUCUGCAACUCGANUGCAUGAAGUCGGAUCGCUAGUAAUUNUUAAUCAGGGCUGCGGUAAA
rnacentral:rRNA from 1 species